rnacentral:tRNA from 1 species
GCGGCUGUAGUCUAGUUUGGAUUAGGACGCGAGCCUGCCAUAUCUAAUACUGUUGUAUUAGAUUCGGAGCGCUUGCGACCCGGGUGCUUAGCGUCAACAGGUAAGCCGGGAAUUCAAAUCCCGGCAGCCGCA